UACAUUUACAGAAGAAAUGGAAAGGCCAGUAGCUAUAUAUCAGUGUGACGUCAGGCUGCAGACUACAAGAAUGCUGGUGCAUCAGAUAAUGAGUACAUUAGUCUGGAUUUCAAGGGACCUGUGCUGCAUAGAAGCAAGACGUUGGUCAUUCAGUACUUACGCAAUACCUACCUGAAAAGAUGCUUUCUAUAAAGACAAGGUGUUUUGUCCGAACAGAAGAUGAACCUUGGAACAUAAGACACCUGUUAGUCUUCUGUAAAUCUCUUUUUCUGUAUCUGCAAUUAUGCUAAAUAUAGCAGAAUAGGUGGAUAGAAAAAGG
rnacentral:lncRNA from 1 species